UGGCAAAGUGCUUUCCAACCUCUACUGCCA
rnacentral:sRNA from 1 species